UUAGUGAAUAUAGGACGUCCAACUUAACUUGGAGUCCGAACUCUCACUUUCUAACCCUGUGCACUUGUUUGGGAUAGUAACUCUCGCAAGAGAGCGAACUCCUAUUCACUUAUAAACACAAAGUCUAUGAAUGUAUUAAAUUUUAUAACAAAAUAAAACUUUCAACAACGGAUCUCUUGGCUCUCGCAUCGAUGAAGAACGCAGCGAAAUGCGAUAAGUAAUGUGAAUUGCAGAAUUCAGUGAAUCAUCGAAUCUUUGAACGCACCUUGCGCUCCAUGGUAUUCCGUGGAGCAUGCCUGUUUGAGUGUCAUGAAUACUUCAACCCUCCUCUUUCUUAAUGAUUGAAGAGGUGUUUGGUUUCUGAGCGCUGCUGGCCUUUACGGUCUAGCUCGUUCGUAAUGCAUUAGCAUCCGCAAUCGAACUUCGGAUUGACUUGGCGUAAUAGACUAUUCGCUGAGGAAUUCUAGUCUUCGGACUAGAGCCGGGUUGGGUUAAAGGAAGCUUCUAAUCAGAAUGUCUACAUUUUAAGAUUAGAUCUCAAAUCANGUAGGACUACCCGCUGAACUUAAGCAUAUCAAUAAGCGGNGGAA
rnacentral:rRNA from 1 species